rnacentral:rRNA from 1 species
CCUACGGGAGGCAGCAGUGGGGAAUCUUGGACAAUGGGGGAAACCCUGAUCCAGCGACGCCGCGUGGGUGAUGAAGGCCUUCGGGUCGUAAAGCCCUGUCGAAGGGGAAGCGGUACCCUUAAAGGAAGCACCGGCUAACUCUGUGCCAGCAGCCGCGGUAAGACAGAGGGUGCUAGCGUUGUUCGGAAUUACUGGGCGUAAAGGGCGCGUAGGCGGUCCGUUAAGUUCGGUGUGAAAGCCCCUGGCUCAACUGGGGAACUGCGCUGGAAACUGGCGGACUCGAGUACCGGAGAGGAGAGUGGAAUUCCUGGUGUAGCGGUGAAAUGCGUAGAUAUCAGGAGGAACACCGGUGGCGAAGGCGGCUCUCUGGACGGAACUGACGCUGAGGCGCGAAAGCGUGGGGAUCAAACAGGAUUAGAUACCCUUGUAGUC